UGGGUAACCUGCCCAAGAGAUCGGGAUAACACCUGGAAACAGAUGCUAAUACCGGAUAACAACAGAUGAUGCCUAUCAACUGUUUAAAAGAUGGUUCUACUAUCACUCUUGGAUGGACCUGCGGUGCAUUAGCUAGUUGGUAGGGUAACGGCCUACCAAGGCGAUGAUGCAUAGCCGAGUUGAGAGACUGAUCGGCCACAUUGGGACUGAGACACGGCCCAAACUCCUACGGAGGCAGCAGGG
rnacentral:rRNA from 1 species